UAUGUAAUUUUUUGUAACAGUAAAAAAAAUCAUAUAUGUAGUUCUCAAAAUAUUUGGUAAUGAACCAGUUAAUUUGGGGUAGAUAAUAAUAAUCCCAGAAACAGAAGUUCCAUUUGUGAGUAUGAAAAUCCAUCAUUCUCUACUUCCAAUCUCCAAUUCAUAUCUUUGAAUCCAUCACUCAACUCAACUUCAUCAACAACCGCAACCCUCUAACUCUAAGAAAAGGCCAUGAUUUGAUAAGCCACCACAAUCAUCCAAACUUAAGACUUUAAUGAUUAAGCUCCACAAGUGAGGGGUUAUCUUUUACCAGUACAUUAUGAAUGAAGAAAUAUAUUUUGCUCGGUUGGACAAGGUAUAUCUUUUCGCUAUAUAUCUUUUCUCUAUAUAUCUUUUCUCUAUAUAUCCUUUCUCAGACAAGGUAUUUUUUUGUUAGACUACAUAUUUUUAUCAGUUUUGCACAUUUAGAAGGAAAGUUCCAAUAAACUAGGAAUGGAGAGAUAUGCCUUGUCCCAGACAAGUCAUUUCUCAUAUUGUCGGUAUGUUUAUUUGCAAGAUUCUCAUGUGGCUUGUUUCACAUGGAUAACUUACAUCUAUGACCUCAUUCGAAGAGAUCAAUCCGUAUUUAUUGAUUUAAUGGUUUAAUCGCUUCUUGUGAUCGCUCAUGCUGCACAAUCUGCUUGACCUCUAUUUCACUUGUAUACUUUGGGUGUGUUUGGUGCACAUUUAGGGACAGCACAGGUAAACAAGAUAUGGCGCAAGUAGCUGAGUUACAACACAAUCUUUUGUUCCUGUCUAUUGUUUCAUGAUUGAUUAACAACACUAGUAGUUCUUGUUAGAGCUACUAGGAAUAGGAGGAGAGUUAAGAAAGAAAAGGUGCUUGGGAAUUGUGCUAUAGAGGAGAAGAUUAAGGGGUUGGAUAUUUUUGACUUUUCGGCGUUGUGCAUUAGACAAGAAGUUGACCCCUAGUUUUUUUAUUAACAAAGUUUUAGACUAUUUUGUACUUCAUAUUCGAUGAUCAUUUUUAAAACCAAGCUUGAAAAAAGUAUUAUUAGUCUAUAUAA